GGGGAUCUAGCUCAGUGGUAGAGCGCUUGCCUAGCAAGCUCAAGGCCCUGGGUUCAAUACCCAGCUCCG
rfam:Rattus norvegicus chromosome 18, whole genome shotgun sequence.